CCCGCUGAACUUAAGCAUAUUAUUCAGCGGAGGAAAAGAAAACAACCGUGACUCCCUCAGUCAGGGGCGACCGAAGAGGGACCGAACUCGUUGCCGAAUGGGGUCUCAACGGCCUCCAGUUGUGGCAUAACGUGCGUUUGUGGUUGGUUAGCGGCCUGGCUAAAAUCAAACUGGCAAAGCAGACAAUGCUGAAUACAACCUCUCAUGGGAGUCUUGUGCCCGAGACCGGUGUUAGCCCGUUUACGCCAGAGACCGCAGCCUCAUGGACGCUACAAAGCGAGUAGCACUGCUUGGGAAUGCAGUGUGAAGUGGCAGGUAUGUGUCUGCCAAAGUUAAAUACAGAGUAGGAAGACCGAUAGCGAACAAGUAGCGUGAGCGAAAGUUUGAAAAGCACUUUGGAAAGAGAGUGACAUAGAACCUGAAGUCGUGACAACGACAAUGGACGUACCUCCAUUUCAUUUUUUUGGUCAAGGCCGACCACCUAAGCAUUCUCCCGACUUGUACGCUCUUUUGCGGCCUGGCGGGUAAACAAAAUGCAGAAGAGGGGUACCGGUCAAGCGAGCUAGAGUAAAGUGUGUGCAGCCGGCGUUGACUUGGCGUAAAAAACCGUCUGAUGCCGCGAGCGCGCUCUUUCUAGUGAUGCUCAAAACUUGACAAUGGGAAUGGGGUGCCUUCACCCGUCUUGAAACACGG
rnacentral:rRNA from 1 species